GGGAUUCGCUAGCGGCGCCCUCUAGUGGCGUUUCGCGGAGCCUUGGCGGAAACCCUACUGGGAGCCGGUGUGUCCCCCAGUAACAUUUGCAAAUGAAAGAAGGGAUGGGAUCUUGCUAAGUUGCCUAGGCUAGCCUCGAACUCCUGGCUUCAAGCACUCCUCCUGCCUCAGCCUCCCAAAGUGCUGGGAUGACAGGUGUGAGCUGCCAUGCCUGGCCGUUACAACUGUCUUGUGAAGCACUCAUGAAAGGUGGCCGGGUACCACUGUAUCAAUGGCCCAGUUGCCCAUCUCCUGGCGAGAGAUUUCCCUAAGUGACCUGGAAGUGUCACUAUUACCACCGCCCCACAUGAAUCUUGUGCUGGAGGCGACUAGAGCUGUGUGUCCCUCAGCAGAAGCAGGUGGCAUAAGCAAGAGUUCCAUUUUGGUUUCAUUUUCAGAGGACCCCAAUUGCGCAGUCUGCAAGAAAUAAUGUGCCUCUCAGGAUGGUUCCAAGCUGAGCCCAAAUCACUGAGGGAGAUUCACUGCUUGCUAACAUGAACUUUAUUCCUGGAUAAACAAGUCCCAAACCGUCUUGUCCAUAUGCCACCACGGUCAGGUCAAAACACACAUUAUCAGCUGGGUGCGGUGGCUCACGCUUGUAAUCCCAGCACUUCGGGAGGCCGAGGUGGGCGGAUCACUUGAGGUCAGGAGUUGGAGAUCAGCCUGGCCAACAUGGUGAAACCCCGUCUCUACUAAAAAUACAAAAAUUAGCCGGGCGUGGUGGUACGUGUCUGUAGUCCCAGGUACUCAGAAGGCUGAAGACAUGAGAAUCGCUUGAACCCAGGGGGCGGAGGUUGCUGAGCUGAGAUCAUGCCACUGCACUCGAGCCUGGACAACAGAGUGAGAUCCUAUGCCAAAAACAAACAAUAAAAACCAACAACAAAAAAGUGCUUUAACAAGUGCGACUCUGUGAGAGACACUCUGCUAGAUGCUGGGGCCAUAAGAGUGAAAAUAAUAGUCUCUGCCCCAGAGGGGCUCAGGUCUGGCUCCUUGAUACAUUUCACAGAUGAGGAAACUGAGGCACUGAACUUUCUGGUUUCUUUCUCUGGGCUGGUUAUGCUGUACUCCCUUCACUGAGUAUUUUCCUCCCUUCAUGAAUUUUCAAGAGUUUCACUCUUGUUGCCCAGGCUGGAGUGCAAUGGCGUGAUCUCGGCUCACUGCAACCUCCAACUCCCAGGUUCAAGCGAUUCUCCUGCCUCAGCCUCCCGAGUAGCUGGGAUUACAGGUGCCCGCCACAAUGCCUGGCUAACUUUUUGUAUUUUUUGUACAGACAGGGUUUCACCAUGUUGGCAGGUUUGUCUCCAACUCCCGACCUCAGGUGAUCCACCUACCUUGGCCUCCCAAAGUGCUGGGAUUACAGGCGUGAGCCACCGCGCCCAGCUGCACAAAAGUUUUUAAGUUUGAUGUAGACCCACUUGUCUAUUUUUUGCUUUUGUUUCCUGCCAAGAGAGAAUCUUACAUCAUGUGACAUAAUCAUGGGAGUAACAUCCUAUCACUUAUACCAUAUCGGUCAGAAUCAAGUCACAGGUCCUGUCACCACUCGAGGGGAAGGUAUCACACAAAGGCAUGAACACCAGGAGGCAGGAUCAUGAAGGCCACCAUGGAGUCUGUCAGCCACACAUUUAUUUAUUUAUUUAUUUAUUUAUUUAUUUAUUUAUUUAUUUUUUCCUGGCUCCCAGAACUGAUGCCAAACAUUUAAAGGGCAGUAAAAGCCUACUUUUAAUUCAACCUUUAACCAAUACUUCUUUUCUUUUUGAGACAGGGCUCUCGCUCUGUCGCCCAGGCUGGAGUUCAGUGACGCGGAUCUCAGCUCACUGCAACCUCUGCCUCCCGGGUUCAAGCAAGUCUCCUGCCUCAGCCUCCUGAGUACCUGGGCUGAGACUACAGGCAUGCGCUACCACACCUGGAUAAUUUUUGUAUUUUUUGGUAGAGACAGGAUUUCUUUUUUUUUUUUUUUUUUGAGAUGGAGUUUCGCUCUUGUUGCCCAGGCUGGAGUGCAGUGGCGUGAUCUUGGCUCACUGCAACCUCCACCUCCCAGGUUCCAGCGAUUCUCCUGCCUCAGCUGCCUGAGUAGCUGGGAUUACAGGCACCUGCCACCACGCCCGGCUAAUUUUUUGUAUUUUUAGUAGAGGUGGGGUUUCACCAUGUUGGCCAGGCUGGUCGCACACUCCUGACCUCAGGUGAUAUACCUGCUUUGGCCUCCCAGAGUGCUGGGAUUACAGGCGUGAGCCACCGUACCCGGCUGAGACAGGAUUUCUCUGUGUUGGCCAGGAUGUUCUCAAACUCCUGGCCUCACGUGAUCCGCCCAUCUUGGCCCCCAAAAAUGCUGGGAUUACAGGCCUGAGCCACCACGUCUGGCACAGCCAAAACUUAUUAAGGUCUGUUUCCUACCAAGCAUUGUGCUUGGGGAGUGCCAAAAUAAAUAUGGCAUAGUACCUGCCCUCUGGGGACUCACAGUUCAAUAUUACAAGCCCUUAAGGUACUGGUUCUGGUAGGAAAGGAUCCAGCCUUCUGGAGAAAAAGGACAGGUACAAUUAGAACUGAGGGCAGAUACAUGAUUUGUAACCCAUUCUGUGUGACCUACCUCCUCCGGGCAGCCCUUCCUCUCUCCCCUCCUGAGACUGUGUCUAAAAGGAA
rnacentral:lncRNA from 1 species